CUCUUACUCUCGGUACUAAAAUAAAAUAAAAAUGGUAUCCAUUUUUAAAGUCGCAUAGACUUUUGCUCCCAGUGGGUAUAGUUUCGAAGGCUCAUCAUCAAUGGCGGACGCAUACUUCUUUCUUUUCUUUCUCCUUCCUCUGCUUCUUUUGGUCGUGCUCUAUUUCCUGGUUAAACCGCGACCGGUGAAGAUCCCUAUCAAGAAUCGACACGUGUUUAUCACGGGCGGAUCCAGCGGCAUCGGGCUGGCUCUGGCACACCGCGCGGCGGCGGAGGGAGCGCGUGUGUCGAUAUUGGCGCGGUCGCUGGGGAAGCUUGAGGAGGCGCGAAAUGUGAUCCGGCUGGCGACGGGGAUCGAGGUGGCGGUAUUCGCGGCAGACGUGCGGGACUUCGAGGCGGUGAAGCGCGCGGUGGACGAGGCAGGGCCAAUCGACGUGCUGCUGCUGAACCACGGCGUGUUCGUAGCGCUGGAGCUGGAGAAGAUGGAAUUGAGUGAGAUAAAGUUCACCAUGGACGUCAAUCUCAUGGGAACGUUGAACCUCAUCAAGGCCGCGCUUCCCGCGAUGAAAAAUCGGAAGGACCCGCUGCCCGCUUCCAUUGCCCUUGUUUCCUCACAGGCCGGUCAGGCGGGCAUUUAUGGCUACGUAGCUUACUCAGCGAGUAAAUUUGGUCUCCGUGGUUUAGCAGAAGCAUUGCAACAAGAGGUUAUAGCUGAUAAUAUUCAUGUUUCUCUGAUUUUUCCUCCGGAUACAGAUACUCCAGGAUUAGCAGAAGAAAACAGGAGAAAACCGGAGCUCACCAAAAUCAUUGCAGCCUCAUCUGGUUGUAUGACAGCUGAAAAAGUUGCUCAGAAAGCUUUGGAUGGUAUAAAAAGUGGCAGCUUUAUUGUUUCUUGCAAUUUGGAGGGAAUUGCGCUAUCCCUUGCAACUGCAGGUUUAUCCCCCCAGAGGUCUUUCUUGAUGGCCUUUGUUGAGGUGGUUGCUGCUGGAAUUCUACGGAUUGUUGCACUAGGCAUGCAGUGGACUUGGUAUGGAAGUAUAGAGAAAUAUCACAGCCAAAGGAAAGCUAUCCGGCAUCUCCGUUAAUUUGUGUCGGCACGGCAAAUGGUGUGAGAUUGGGAGAAUCAAUUUUGCCCGAUUGGACCAGAGAGGUUCAACCCGGAGUAGCUGAAACAGAGUCCUAUUCCCCAUUUUAGGAGUUAUAUGCAAGAUACUGGGAUGCUGCCUUCUUCCACUCUGAAAUUCAAAUGAAAGUUAACGAAUUAGAUCUCGAUAAACAUCAAGUUGAUUAAGUUUUUUUUUUUUUAAAACUUUUCUUCCGUUUUCUAAUGUUUCCUAACAUAUCUUAAGUAAAGACAGGUUAAGUUACAUGUUCAGGUUCAGUAAUACGCUAUGGAUUGGAUAGGAUUGAUGUAUAUUUUCUUUAAAAAAAAUUUGGUCCUCAUUUCUUUUUACGUUUU